GAUGAACGCUGGCGGCGUGCCUAAUACAUGCAAGUCGAGCGAACAGACGAGGAGCUUGCUCCUCUGACGUUAGCGGCGGACGGGUGAGUAACACGUGGAUAACCUACCUAUAAGACUGGGAUAACUACGGGAAACCGGAGCUAAUACCGGAUAAUAUAUUGAACCGCAUGGUUCAAUAGAGAAAGACGGUUUUGCUGUCUCUUAUAGAUGGAUCCGCGCCGCAUUAGCUAGUUGGUAAGGUAACGGCUUACCAAGGCAACGAUGCGUAGCCGACCUGAGAGGGUGAUCGGCCACACUGGAACUGAGACACGGUCCAGACUCCUACGGGAGGCAGCAGUAGGGAAUCUUCCGCAAUGGGCGAAAGCUUGACGGAGCAACGCCGCGUGAGUGAUGAAGGUCUUCGGAUCGUAAAACUCUGUUAUUAGGGAAGAACAAAUGUGUAAGUAACUAUGCACGUCUUGACGGUACCUAAUCAGAAAGCCCCGGCUAACUACGUG
rnacentral:rRNA from 1 species